CCUACGGGAGGCAGCAGUGGGGAAUAUUGGACAAUGGAGGCAACUCUGAUCCAGCAAUGCCGCGUGUGUGAUGAAGGCCCUAGGGUUGUAAAGCACUUUCAACGGUGAAGAUGAUGACGGUAGCCGUAGAAGAAGCCCCGGCUAACUUCGUGCCAGCAGCCGCGGUAAUACGAAGGGGGCGAGCGUUAUUCGGAAUUAUUGGGCGUAAAGGGCUCGCAGGCUGCUUGAACAGUUAGACGUGAAAUCCCCGGGCUCAACCUGGGAACUGCGUUUAAUACUAGCAAGCUAGAGAAAUAGAGAGGAAAGUGGAACUCCCAGUGUAGAGGUGAAAUUCGUAGAUAUUGGGAAGAACACCAGUGGCGAAAGCGACUUUCUGGCUAUUUUCUGACGCUGAGGAGCGAAAGCGUGGGGAGCAAACAGGAUUAGAUACCCUAGUAGUC
rnacentral:rRNA from 1 species